AUCUUUUUAGUAUAAACACAAUACAAGUGACCUCCAAUUACUUAAUCUUGGUUAAAUUCCAAGUAAAGAUA
rnacentral:tRNA from 1 species